GACGAACGCUGGCGGCGUGCUUAACACAUGCAAGUCGAACGGAAAGGCCUUUUCGGAGGUACUCGAGUGGCGAACGGGUGAGUAACACGUGGGUGAUCUGCCCUACACUCUGGGAUAAGCCUGGGAAACUGGGUCUAAUACCGGAUAGGACCGCACUUUAGUGUGUGUGGUGGAAAGUUUUUUCGGUGUAGGAUGAGCCCGCGGCCUAUCAGCUUGUUGGUGGGGUAAUGGCCUACCAAGGCGGCGACGGGUAGCCGGACUGAGAGGUUGGUCGGCCACAUUGGGACUGAGAUACGGCCCAGACUCCUACGGGAGGCAGCAGUGGGGAAUAUUGCACAAUGGGCGCAAGCCUGAUGCAGCGACGCCGCGGGGGGGAUGACGGCCUUCGGGUUGGAAACUCCUUUCGCCAGGGACGAAGCGUUUUGUGACGGUACCUGGAGAAGAAGCACCGGCUAACUACGUG
rnacentral:rRNA from 1 species